rnacentral:rRNA from 1 species
GACAAGGUUUCCGUAGGUGAACCUGCGGAAGGAUCAUUA